rnacentral:misc_RNA from 1 species
GAUGAAGAACGCAGCGAAACGCGAAAUGUAAUGUGAAUUGCAGAAUUCAGUGAAUCAUCGAAUCUUUGAACGCACAUGGCGCCUUCCAGUAUCCUGGGAGGCAUGCCUGUCCGAGCGUCGUUUCAACCCUCGAGCCCCCGUGGCCCGGCGUUGGGGAUCUGCCACGGCAGGCCCCUAAAACCAGUGGCGGACCCGAAGGCCCUCUCCUUUGCGCAGUAGCAUCAGCCUCGCAUUGGGAUCCCUCGGCGUCCUGCCUCUAAACCCCCCACAAGUCCGCUCCGGCGGCACCAAGGUUGACCUCGGAUCAGGUAGGAAUACCCGCUGAACUUAAGCAUAUCAAUAAGCGGAGGA